rnacentral:rRNA from 1 species
GUCUUUUUGAGUUAUUUUUAAAGUCUGACCUGCCCACUGAUUUUUUAAAUGGCCGCAGUAUUCUAACUGUGCAAAGGUAGCAUAAUCAUUAGUCUUUUAAUUGAAGGCUGGUAUGAACGGUUGGACGAGGUAUAAGCUGUUUCAUAUAAAUUUAUAAUAGAAUUUUAUAUUUUAGUCAAAAAGCUAAAAUAUAAUUAAAAGACGAGAAGACCCUAUAAAUCUUUAUAUUUUAUAUAAUUUAGAUUUUUUAGAUUUAUUUUAUUUUUAUUAUAUUGAAUAUUUUGUUGGGGUGAUAUUAAAAUUUAAUGAACUUUUAAUUGUAAUUUAAGUCAUUAAUUUAUGAAUUAUUGAUCCAUUAAUAGUGAUUAUAAGAUUAAGUUACUUUAGGGAUAACAGCGUAAUUUUUUUGGAGAGUUCAUAUCGAUAAAAAAGUUUGCGACCUCGAUGUUGGAUUAAGAUAUAAUUUUAGGUGUAGCCGCUUAAAUGUUAAGUCUGUUCGACUUUUAAAUUCUU